GACGAACGCUGGCGGCGUGCUUAACACAUGCAAGUCGAACGGAAAGGCCCUGCUUUUGUGGGGUGCUCGAGUGGCGAACGGGUGAGUAACACGUGAGUAACCUGCCCUUGACUUUGGGAUAACUUCAGGAAACUGGGGCUAAUACCGGAUAGGAGCUCCUGCUGCAUGGUGGGGGUUGGAAAGUUUCGGCGGUUGGGGAUGGACUCGCGGCUUAUCAGCUUGUUGGUGGGGUAGUGGCUUACCAAGGCUUUGACGGGUAGCCGGCCUGAGAGGGUGACCGGCCACAUUGGGACUGAGAUUCGGCCCAGACUCCUACGGGAGGCAGCAGUGGGGAAUAUUGCAAAAUGGGCGGAAGCCUGAUGCAGCAACGCCGCGGGCGGGAUGACGGCCUUCGGGUUGUAAACCGCUUUCGCCUGUGACGAAGCGUGAGUGGCGGUAAUGGGUAAAGAAGCAACGGCUAAAUACGUG
rnacentral:rRNA from 1 species